ensembl:snoRNA
UCAUGGCUCUCUUUCUCACUGCUUGGAGUCUUAAGUAGUGGGAUUUUAGUCCAUUAUAUCUAAGCUGACUUAUUUUCACGCAGGGCACCAUGGGGAUAGACUGGCUGUCCGUUAGUGCCUUCUGAUUUUUGUGAAGUCAAAUAAUU